AUGGACGAUGCCGAGGUGGAGUCCCAAAAGUGGCUAAACCAGGAGGAGGUGGUCCUGGAGGCGCCGCAAGGCGACCUCCCGGACUCCAGGCCCAAAGGGGAUGAAGCCCCAGAGGGAUCUAAGUCCGGCCCUGGGCCGGACACCGCUCCGGAACCUUCAGUGAUUCCGGAGUCCGGAAGGCAGCCCCCUCGCAAGAAGGGCAAGCCUACGAUGCCGACGGCCUCCGUCCAACCGGAGGCGCCAAAAAAUUUGCUGGAGGUGCUUAACGGCGCCUCCAUCGACGAGGAGCACCGCAAUGUUAUGAGUGCGGUGAUCCAGAAGGUUCAGUCCGCCAAGAGCGGGCUGACAGAAGCCUGUACCAGCCUUCUAACAGGUUUCGAGGUAUGUAUUUAA
rnacentral:rRNA from 1 species